rnacentral:rRNA from 1 species
GAGUAAUACGAAGGUAACCUACCCCCCAGUGGGGAAUAUCUCCGAGAAAUCGGAGCCAAUACCGCAUGUCGUCCUCACACGCGAGUGUGAUGAUGAAAGCCUUCGGGCGCUGGAGGAUGGGCCUUCGUCCCAUCAGGCAGUUGGCAGGGUAACGGCCUACCAAACCUAAGACGGGUAGCUGGUCUGAGAGGAUGGUCAGCCAGACGGGGACUGAGAGACGGCCCCGACUCCUACGGGAGGCAGCAGCAAGGGAUAUUGCGCAAUGGACGAAAGUCUGACGCAGCGACGCCGCGUGAGGGAUGAAGGCCUUCGGGUCGUAAACCUCUUUUAUUGGUGAAGAGCAAGGACGGUAACCAAUGAAUAAGCCUCGGCUAACUACGUGCCAGCAGCCGCGGUAAUACGUAGGAGGCGAGCGUUAUCCGGAUUUACUGGGCGUAAAGCGCGUGUAGGCGGCUUUCUAAGUUGGCAGUGAAAGGUUCCGGCUCAAUUGGGAUUUGCCUGUCAAUACUGGAGAGCUUGAGGGCACCAGAGGAAAGUGGAACUCGCGGUGUAGCGGUGAAAUGUGUAGAUAUCGCGAGGAACACCAGUGGCGAAGGCGGCUUUCUGGGGUGUUCCUGACGCUGAGGCGCGAAAGCGUGGGGAGCGAACGGAUUAGAUACCCGCGUAGUCCACGCCCUAAACGGUGGAUACUUGGUAUGGGGGGUAUCGACCCCCUCCGUGCCGAAGCCAACGCUUUAAGUAUCCCGCCUGGGAACUACGGUCGCAAGACUAAACUCAAAGGAAUUGACGGGGGCCCGCACAAGCAGCGGAGCGUGUGGUUUAAUUCGAUGCAACACGAAGAACCUUACCAAGGCUUGACAUGCUAGUAGUAGGAACCCGAAAGGGGGACGACCGGCCUUCGGGCUGGAGCUAGCACAGGUGCUACAUGGCUGUCGUCAGCUCGUGCCGUGAGGUGUUGGGUUAAGUCCCAUAACGAGCGCAACCCCUGUUCUGUGUUGAUUUCUCACAGGAGACUGCCCAGGAAUUCUGGGAGGAAGGUGGGGAUGACGUCAAGUCAGCAUGGCCUUUAUGCCUUGGGCCACACACACGCUACAAUGGGUGGUACAAAGGGCAGCUAAAGAGUGAUCUGGAGCUAAUCCCAGAAAGCCACCCCCAGUUCAGAUUGCAGUAA